rnacentral:lncRNA from 1 species
UGGGGCAUCCGGGUGUGGAGGGUGCACAGAGUAGGUGUGCUUGGGGUGCUGGGUGUGCACAGCAUAGGGCUCUGAAGCCAGAGCCCGUGUCCUGUGGAAGGCACCCCACCUAUGUCAAGCAAUGAGAAAGGCUCACUUGUUGUUUGUAAUUAUUUACUCACUUUGCCAAAGUUCCAACUGCUCGGCCCAGCGGAGGUUUGGGGAUCCAGGCUCGGGCAGACCCAGGUGCGCUCGCACCUGCCCACACAGGACGGCCAUGACGAGCCACAGCCAGGCACUUGGCUGUUCCUUUCCUUCCCUCCUGUCAUGCUGCAGCAGGGACAGCCGUCAGCCUGAGCUUGGCUCCGACUCGGGGUGCAAAGGGAAGCUCUUUCAGAACUGGCCUGGGCACGGGGCCCUGGCAGAACGCUCCUGUCUGCAGACCAUCCCAGACACCCACAGCCCCAAAGCUAAGGAGCCCGAGGAGGCCCCCCGCAGGGUCAGGACGGCACUGGCGGGGGCCGGAAAGGACGCGAAGGGGGCUGGGUGAGGUGUGCAGCCCCGUUGCUGACCUUCGACCCAGGGUCCCCAGCACAUCUCUGUUGUCCCUGUGGUGCUCUGGGCUCUGUGUCCACAGGACCAUAUGCACAGCCCACUGCAGUGUCGUUUAUCACCCCGAAAAACAGCCGACCUGCUUCCUGGAGGGGGGCAGGGUUGCCCAAACUGUGGCUUGUCCAUGGCUCAGAAGAUCGUGCCGACAUUGGAGGGAGGAUUUUGGAUAUCUCAGUAAGAAAAUUAAAAUGGAAAAUGAUAUUCAAAAAUAUGAAAUGGCAGAGUGAAAGAUCAGAAUAGAAAACCGUGGUUACAUGAAAUUUCAGCUAAGAGAAAAUGUAUGCAUGUGAGAAAUGGUAAUAGAUUCACUUCAUCAGGGUGGAAAGUGCUUUUUGUUCUAGUUUUCUGCUUUUCUAAUGUUCUGCUUUUAUAACUGAAUGCUGUAUUUGAAUAAUAAAAGGGUGUUUUCUUUCGCAGCACCAGGAAGUGCCUUGGGUGGUGGGGCCCAGUCUGUCUGAGCAGAGGCAGCCUGGCGACCAGAGCCUCCGGUGAGCUGGGGUGCCAGUUCUGGCCACAGACAGACACGGUGACAGGUGUGUGUGGGCCCCAGGGACAGGACUGGUACAUGAGUGGCCACUGCACCACACUCAGUGUGGUUGGUGGCACGCUGCCUGGCCCACUCCUCAUCUCCCAUGCAUGUUAGAAUCUGUUGUCUUUGGAUGUGCGAGGGCCACCGUUGCUAAGCACCACAACUGAGAAGUGCUGUCCACAGCUCUGGAGCCUGGCAUCUGGGACCGGGAUUGGGGAGCUGCUCUUUCAGGGCUGGGGAGGGUCUCCCAGACCUCACCCCUGGGCUGACAGGUACUGGGUCUCCCCGUCUCUUUAUACCAUCUUCUCUAUGUGCCUGUCCACCUCUGUGGACCUCACCUAAGCAAGCCUCUAUGGAGGCUUCAUUCUGAGGUCCAGGGUGGGAUUCCCACUCACCCUUUAAGGGCAGACAUGAUCAACCCACAAAGGCCCUUUCUCUAAAGUCUGAAAAUUCCUACAGACAGGAAGAGGCACACCUGCCCCUACAGAGGAAGGAACUGAGAAGUCACAGUGACCGACAGCCCACCAGCAGCAGGCCUCGAGCUGGGCUGGGUGGACUCUGCUGUUGGCCUUCACCCCUCUCCGGGGGACUCAGGCUGCAUCCCCUUCUGGGUUUGUAGCAGGAGCUACGGUGCUGGAGGCUCUUGUUCAAUAUACAGAAACUCAGGCGACAAUUUCAAACCCCAAUUCCAGAGAGGCUGGGAUUUUCUGGGUAGAAAUGUGAAUCUGAGAGACAACCUUGUUGUCUGUUUCAGUGACUCCCCAAGUAGGAGAGCUGACUGUCUUUGGAAGGUGAGCGGGCGGGAGCCCUACACCCUCCAGCCCUGCUCACAGUCCACACCCCCACCCAGCAAGGCCAGCCGCUGCCCACGGCCUCCAUGCUCACACCUGCCCAGGUGACUGGAGAAGAGAGUGGGUCCAGAGCCCUCUGUCAGAUGGAGCACCCCAGAGAGGGCGAGAGAGGGUGCCCGGGCUGGGCUGUGGGCAAGGGCUCUGCGGCCAGGGGGAACGCACAGAGGAGAGAAGGCUCGCCGCGCUGUACGGUCAUUCUUGGUCCUCCUCCAUGGCUUGGGCAGCAGGCUGGGAACGCAACGCAGCUUCUGCGGAAUGGACAGAGGCCACUCAGGCCUAGCCCCUCGGCAGGGGUCACCUCCAGAGGAGCUCCCUGGCCGCAGCCCAGGGCAGCAGGCCCAGACCUUCCCUCACUAUAGAGCAUUUGCCUGCUGACGUUCUGCAGAGCUUGCUUUCUUGAUUUCACUAUUUAUGCACAAAUAAUUACUCGUAAAAUUUAUUAGUUUAGUUCUUCAUUUCAGCAAAACUGGUGUUUGUGUCUCUGUGAGAUAAUGCAAUUGCUCUGUAAGAAAAGCCAUGCUCGUCCCAGGGGCACACCCAUCUUCACCAUGGCUCCGCCCUGGCGGGUGCCUGGGCAAUCAUCCAGCACAGGGAGGGCUGCCUCCCUCCAGACAGCUGCCUUCCACAGGCCUGUAAGAGGCCAGCUCUGCCCCGCCUCCUGAUGGACCCUGCCGGUCCCUGGCCCGCCUGCCCGCAGGUGCUGCCAGCGUCCCCCAACCAGCACCCGGCUGCAGGAGCCGGCAGGCCGAGGGGCAGCCAAGGGGAAGCUGAGGGCUGGCUCCUGCAUCAUGGCUCUCGACCCCGCGGCGGCUCAACAUCUCCCGGGUCAGCCCACUGUGCAGGGGCUCCGGCACAGGUUCCUGAAACCACCCGGGAGGCGGAACAAGGUAGCCUGGUGCAGGACACGGCUGCCACCCCGGAUCCAAGAUUGACAGACACAGACCACCGACUCCUCGGGCGGGGGCAAGCCUCGGGGUGCCAGCUGUCGCCACUGUCAGGCUGUGAGGCAGCAGGGUGACCAGGACUGGCAGGUCCAGACUGCCUGGCUGCACACACCUGCCCUCCCCGUCCCUGCAGCCAUCUCCCACCUGCACCAGGGACUCUUCAGUCCCGUGUGUAGACCGAGGGGCUCUGUGUCGGGUACGGAAGUGCUGGGCCUUGUCUCUAGGAGAACUCCAAUGAGGACACCUUCUGGAACUUUCCAAGUGCUUGGGACGAAUGAGAACAUGUACAGCCUUCUCACAGGGGAGAGAAGAUGCUCUCUCAGAGGCACAGCCACACUGAGACCCAGCUGGACACAGUCCCCUGGUCCCCAUGACACCUGGCUGCCAUGCCCAGAGGGGCAGUCGCACAGCCACCCAGGCCGCGCCACACCCACCCCCCCACCUCACCGGCCUGCAGGGUGCCGUGCCCCAUGGGUCACGUCAGGAAAGAGGGCACAGGCCCUCACUCACAUACAGCACCAGAAACAGUCCAGGGCAGAGGACAACAUGCAGGAGAACGGUGAGUCCCUGUCCAGGGCACCCACAGUGGCGCCCUGCCUGGGAGGCCGUCCCUCUCUGCCCCACGGUCGUCUGGGCAGCUUUCAGAUCUAACUCCGUCUCUUCCCACCUUCCUCCUGCUGCGCCCUGCAGCCCGAGGCCUUCCGCCCGACUCACCAAACAGCAUAGUGGACUUGUGAAGCAACAGUGCUGAGAGUCAGGCGUGGAUAGGAAGGAAAAGUGGUUUCUAAACCCCAGAGGCCUGGGAAGGAGGGAGGGCAGGAUGCAGGCCCCUCACGGCCUGCCCAGCGGGACUGGGGCUCCAGCGACUGGACCAGAGGAGCGGCUCUGAGGCCAGCCUCCGCUCCCUGGCUGCAGAGAGCAGAACAGGAGGGUGGACACUGCCCAGAGUGGCCCAGGAGUGGCUGAGCC